AAUCAAAAGGGGCUAAAAAGAAAAAGGUGGUCCAUGGAACAAGAUCCACCAGCAGAGAUAAGUCUCGAUGGGAGCAUGUUGAAGAAUAUUUCACGGAGACACAAGCUUCGCAAUCAUCAAAGCCGUCUCCGUCAAUUCCGUCCCACUCAAGGCCAUCAUCAUCACAACCUACCGCAUCAAACCCUAUGCCUACGGUGUCUGAANNN
rnacentral:lncRNA from 1 species